CAGUAGCCGCGGGAAUACGUAGGGUGCAAGCGUUAAUCGGAAUUACUGGGCGUAAAGCGUGCGCAGGCGGUUAUAUAAGACAGAUGUGAAAUCCCCGGGCUCAACCUGGGAACUGCAUUUGUGACUGUAUAGCUAGAGUACGGCAGAGGGGGAUGGAAUUCCGCGUGUAGCAGUGAAAUGCGUAGAUAUGCGGAGGAACACCGAUGGCGAAGGCAAUCCCCUGGGCCUGUACUGACGCUCAUGCACGAAAGCGUGGGGAGCAAACAGGAUUAGAGACCCGAGUAGUCCCUGUCUCUUAUAA
rnacentral:rRNA from 1 species